rnacentral:lncRNA from 1 species
AUGGCCUCCGUCUCCAAGCUCGCCUGCAUCUACUCGGCCCUCAUUCUGCACGACGAUGAGGUGACAGUCACGGAGGAUAAGAUCAAUGCCCUCAUUAAAGCAGCCGGUGUAAAUGUUGAACCUUUUUGGCCUGGCUUGUUUGCAAAGGCCCUGGCCAACGUCAACAUUGGGAGCCUCAUCUGCAAUGUAGGGGCUGGUGGACCUGCUCCAGCAGCUGGUGCUGCACCAGCAGGACGUCCUGCCCCCUCCACUGCUGCUGCUCCAGCUGAGGAGAAGAAAGUGGAAGCAAAGAAAGAAGAAUCCAAGGAGUCUGAUGAUGACAUGGGCCUUGGUCUUUUUGACUAA